ACGAACGCUGGCGGCGUGCCUAACACAUGCAAGUCGAACGGAACUUCUUUAAAGGAUUUCUUCGGAAUGAAUUUGAUUAAGUUUAGUGGCGGACGGGUGAGUAACGCGUGAGUAACCUGCCUCUGAGAGGGGAAUAACAUUCUGAAAAGAAUGCUAAUACCGCAUAAUAUAUAUUUAUCGCAUGGUAGAUAUAUCAAAGAUUUAUCGCUUAGAGAUGGACUCGCGUCCGAUUAGUUAGUUGGUGAGGUAACGGCUCACCAAGACUGCGAUCGGUAGCCGGACUGAGAGGUUGAACGGCCACAUUGGGACUGAGACACGGCCCAGACUCCUACGGGAGGCAGCAGUGGGGGAUAUUGCGCAAUGGGGGAAACCCUGACGCAGCAACGCCGCGUGAAGGAUGAAGGUCUUCGGAUUGUAAGCUUCUUUUAUUAAGCACGAAGAAAGUGACGGUACUUAAUGAAUAAGCUCCGGCUAACUACGUGCCAGCAGCCGCGGUAAUACGUAGGGAGCAAGCGUUGUCCGGAUUUACUGGGUGUAAAGGGUGCGUAGGCGGCUUUGCAAGUCAGAUGUGAAAUCUAUGGGCUCAACCCAUAGCCUGCAUUUGAAACUGCAGAGCUUGAGUGAAGUAGAGGCAGGCGGAAUUCCCCGUGUAGCGGUGAAAUGCGUAGAGAUGGGGAGGAACACCAGUGGCGAAGGCGGCCUGCUGGGCUUUAACUGACGCUGAGGCACGAAAGCGUGGGUAGCAAACAGGAUUAGAUACCCUGGUAGUCCACGCAGUAAACGAUGGACACUAUCUGUUCGGGUCGAAUGGGAUCUGAGUGGCACAGCGAAAGCGUUAAGUGUCCCACCUGGGGAGUACGCCGGCAACGGUGAAACUCAAAGGAAUUGACGGGGGCCCGCACAAGCAGUGGAGUAUGUGGUUUAAUUCGAAGCAACGCGAAGAACCUUACCAGGUCUUGACAUCCUACUAACGAGAUAGAGAUAUGUUAGGUGCCCUUCGGGGAAAGUAGAGACAGGUGGUGCAUGGUUGUCGUCAGCUCGUGUCGUGAGAUGUUGGGUUAAGUCCCGCAACGAGCGCAACCCUUGCUAUUAGUUGCUACGCAAGAGCACUCUAAUAGGACUGCCGUUGACAAAACGGAGGAAGGUGGGGACGACGUCAAAUCAUCAUGCCCCUUAUGACCUGGGCUACACACGUACUACAAUGGACAUAAACAGAGGGAAGCAAAACAGCGAUGUGGAGCAAACCCCUAAAAAUGUUCUCAGUUCAGAUUGCAGGCUGCAACCCGCCUGUAUGAAGAUGGAAUUGCUAGUAAUCGCAGAUCAGCAUGCUGCGGUGAAUACGUUCCCGGGCCUUGUACACACCGCCCGUCACACCAUGGGAGCCGGUAAUACCCGAAGUCAGUAGUCUAACCGCAAGGAGGACGCUGCCGAAGGUAGGAUUGGCGACUGGGGUG
rnacentral:rRNA from 1 species